rnacentral:rRNA from 1 species
CUACCUUAUACAGGGGUAUAGCCCAGGGAAACUUGGAUUAACACCCCAUAGUAAUAUGUUUUGGCAUCAUUACAUAUUUAAAACUACGGUGGUAUAAGAUGGGUAUGCGUCCCAUUAGCUUGUUGGUGUGGUAACGGCACACCAAGGCAACGAUGGGUAGGGGCCCUGAGAGGGGGAUCCCCCACACUGGUACUGAGACACGGACCAGACUCCUACGGGAGGCAGCAGUGAGGAAUAUUGGACAAUGGGCGGGAGCCUGAUCCAGCCAUGCCGCGUGCAGGAAGACUGCCCUAUGGGUUGUAAACUGCUUUUAUACGGGAAGAAACCCACCUACGUGUAGGUGGCUGACGGUACCGUAAGAAUAAGGACCGGCUAACUCCG